GAGGGUAUAGCUCAAGUGGUAGAGCGCUUGCUUAGCAUGUAUGAGGUCCUGGGUUCAAUCCCCAGUGCUUCCU
rnacentral:tRNA from 1 species